rnacentral:rRNA from 1 species
GAUGAACGCUGGCGGCGUGCCUAAUACAUGCAAGUCGAGCGAACGGACGAGAAGCUUGCUUCUCUGAUGUUAGCGGCGGACGGGUGAGUAACACGUGGAUAACCUACCUAUAAGACUGGGAUAACUUCGGGAAACCGGAGCUAAUACCGGAUAAUAUUUUGAACCGCAUGGUUCAAAAGUGAAAGACGGUCUUGCUGUCACUUAUAGAUGGAUCCGCGCUGCAUUAGCUAGUUGGUAAGGUAACGGCUUAUCAAGGCAACGAGGCAUAGCCGACGGGAGAGGGUGAUAGGCCACCCUGGAGCGUGGCCACGGUCCAGGCGCCUACGGUAGGCAGCAGUAGGGAAUGUGAGGCAAUGGGCGAAAGCCUGGCGGAGCAACGCCGCGUGAGUUAUGAAGGUCUUCGGAUCGUAAAACUCUGUUAUUAGGGAAGAACAUAUGUGUAAGUAACUGUGCACAUCUUGACGGUACCUAAUCAGAAAGCAACGGCUAACUACGUG